rnacentral:rRNA from 1 species
UUACCAAAAACAUAGCCCUAGAUAAAAUCUAAGGUGUAACCUGCCCAGUGGUUUUUAAAUAAUAAUUAAAAAAAUUAAAAAUAAAACUAAAAGGACGCGGUAACCUUGACCGUGAUAAUGUAGCAUAAUCACUCGCCAUUUAAUUGAUGGAUAGUAUGAAUGGUUGAACGAAUAUUCCACUGUCUUAAAGAGAAUUAAAAGAAAUUGAAAUAAUAGUUAAGAUGCUAUUUUAAACUGUAAGACGAAAAGACCCUAUAGAGCUUAACUAUAAACUUUUUAUAAAAAAUUAAAAAUAAAUUUACUAAUUAAAAAGUUUGGUAGUUUAGUUGGGGCGACUAUCUUCUAAAAUAAACGAAGAUAAGCAAUAUUAAUAAAAAAUUUAUUGUAUAAAUAAAAAUUUUAACAAUUAUUAUAGUAGGCUAUAAUGACCCGUUUUUACUAAAAAAUAAGAAAAACGAUCAAUUAAUAAAAGCUACCUUAGGGAUAACAGGAUAAUUUCAUUUUAGAGCUC